rnacentral:rRNA from 1 species
AUACGGAAGGUCCGGGCGUUAUCCGGAUUUAUUGGGUUUAAAGGGAGCGCAGGCGGAGAUGCAAGCGUGACGUCAAAUUUCGGGGCUCAACCCCGUCUCGCGUCGCGAACUGCGUCCCUUGGUUGCGGGAAGGGGAGGCGGAACUCGGGGUGUAGCGGGGAAAUGCAUAGGUAUCACGAAGAACUCCGAUCGCGGAGGCAGCCUUCCGGCCCGUCAACGACGCUCAUGCUCGAAGGUGCGGGUAUCAAACAGGAUUAGAUACCCUGGUAGUCCGCACAGUAAACGAUGGACACCCGCGGUUUGGCCUGUAUGGCUGAGCCGCCAAGCGAAAGCGUUAAGUGUCCCACCUGGGGAGUUCGCCGGCAACGGUGAAACUCAAAGGAAUUGACGGGG